GUUUCUAUUUUCUCUCGACAGAUACAAUCCAAUGCUGACUAAUCAGACGGAAAGGACAGCAUGUAUGAAGACCAAAGUAAUGACAUCACCUGACAUCUGACACAUCAACUGGCUUUUUUAUUACGUUCAGUCCUCAUAAUAUACCUGGAUUGGUUUGACACACAGAGACCAUUGUUGGCAUGCACAAGACAAAUGUGAAUGAGCCACAGGAAAAAAAAGAAACAAAGGUUGAGGGCAAGAACAUCUGAAAAAAAAAAAAAAAAGACAGCAGCUGAGUGGCAGCAGAACAAAAGGAGUGGAAAGAGUAACAGAGACGAUGGGUCGGAAGAAUGCGAACUGGAGGGGUGUGGGGCAGAGAGCUGUCAAAGGUUAGCCUCGUCCUCCAUCCUUCACGAUGCCUUUUGCUUGUCACGCACCAUUCUCUUCGCAUACCCGCUCAACGCCAAAGAGACUUCUGGAGACAAUCCAGGAUAAAUGGUGUCCACCGCUCUGUCCAGACCACAAGUGAAGCCACCGCUGGCUAAUUUAAUAUAGAUACAGGAUUUAGGGUAAAGGCAGUUAUUGUACAAUUUAGUCCAAGUGGGACAUCACCGUUUGGUAAAAUAUAAAACAGUCAAGCGUAAUGUGUAACUAUGAUGGUCACAGACACAUUUCCAGAUUUAAAAAAAAAAAAGAAACAAAAGCACAGAAUAAAAGAUUCCCGUAAACUAGACCGUGCCUUGUUUUUGACCUUGCCUUUUUGCAUCAUGAUUUUGCUACGGUCGCCUUUUUGGACUGCCUGCUUGUUUACCGACCUCAGAUUGAUUAGAUCUUCUAAAAUUGUGUCUUCUCUCUACAGUUGUGCAUUUUGGGUCCGAUUCCGUGUUCUCUUCAUGACAUGUCAAAACAUUGGGGCAAAGAUUCCGUGGGAACAAAGCCUUCUCACAAUCAUAUUUGAUUAAUUCUUGAUCAAUUUGUGUCUACCAAAAAAAUUCGGAUAUACAAUACAUUUUUAAUAGGUCAACGAGACCUUAAGUUACACAAAGAAAUUUUACAAAGAACAUAAAAUAAAAGCACAAAUCUUAAAUGGCUGCCCUAUUCCAACUCAAACCGAAUGCAAUAAACAAUAAGGUCUCCCCCCAAAAAAAUCAUUGGAAACCCCCCACUGACCCUUGAGGACUUGGACCCUGCCAAAACUAAGACAAGAGAAGGAAAAAUCCUGUUGAAUCCUCCACAUCUUGAUCAUCCCCUCUUCCAGAUCUUUACUUCAAGAAUGCAAAUUAAAACAAGCAGACAUUCCAACCACUUCUUUCCCUUUGCCAUGAACUGCCUAAAGAAUUCAUUUACAAUUCCAUUGUAACAUGCUGCCAAUUUUGGCUCGAGAUUGUCGUCACAACUAAGUCAAGAUAGUUGUACAUUACUCAUGGACUCACUGUCGUAGUCUCAUUAAUUGUCACUGUACCAGAUUAUUGCUCUAUUAGUCAUUUCGACCUGCUCUAAACUGCGAGAGGACUCAUUUUU